rnacentral:rRNA from 1 species
GUUCGGUCCCUAUCUGCCGUGGGCGCUGGAGAACUGAGGGGGGCUGCUCCUAGUACGAGAGGACCGGAGUGGACGCAUCACUGGUGUUCGGGUUGUCAUGCCAAUGGCACUGCCCGGUAGCUAAAUGCGGAAGAGAUAAGUGCUGAAAGCAUCUAAGCACGAAACUUGCCCCGAGAUGAGUUCUCCCUGACUCCUUGAGAGUCCUGAAGGAACGUUGAAGACGACGACGUUGAUAGGCCGGGUGUGUAAGCGCAGCGAUGCGUUGAGCUAACCGGUACUAAUGAACCGUGAGGCUUAACCUUACAACGCCGAAGCUGUU